CUUCCAUGGCACGGGGAAGAGGCCGAGAAGUAGGCUGUGGUGUUGUGCGGUGUUGCUACGAACGGCCAAGAACAACAUCGAACAUCGAGAUCCCUCUUUGGGGAAGAUGGGCAUUAUAAAAUUCAAAGUUUUUUCGGAGCAGUAAGGCGAGAAAGGUAGGACCGUGUAGGCAUCAUCAUCAUAAAGCGAACAAGAAGAAACACCCAAAACACAAGGGCCUCCUCGGGCCCGGCGGGCGGUGUGGAAAGGUGUGGAAAGAGUGUUAUGAUUUCUUUUGCGCUUCUCAUCGUUCCGUCGAUGGUUUGUUGGAUGGUUUCCCUUACCCCGUGUACCACACUUCUGGAUGAGCUGGAUUAUAUCAGCAUAAUCUUGUUAAAGGAAAUUUGCACGAUUUCGGUUCGGUUCCAAGAGGUGCUUGCUGCCCAGGUUCCGUUCCGUUUGCGGUCGAAGGGACGUGUUAGGGGCAAUAAAUUGAAAGAUGUUUAACCACCCCGUAAGCGAGCAAUUGAUUCUCAAAGGACCUGUGUUUGCAUGCGUUCUAGCAACAUCAAUCCGGUGAGGAGCACAGUUUAGUGACGGUUUUGUGCUAUCAAUUGCAGUCAACCGCGAGCAAAACCGAUAAAUGUAUUUUCCACACAUGCUAAAUAAGUGAGAGGGAGGAAGGUCAGAAAAAAAUGGCGCUACAAUUGAUACAUAGGACAUAGGAACGGAAAAACAUGCAAGCUGCAAACUACGUCGAAAUGAAACAACGAAAUAAAAAUACACUGUAGAAUUGCAUAGAAUUGCAACCUCAAACGA